rfam:Gongylonema pulchrum genome assembly, scaffold: GPTH_scaffold0006721
GGUUAUAUUACCCAAGAUUGAGGUAACUGAAUGCUCCAGCCCAGUAUUCAUUAAGUUUCUGUGGCUUGAAGUGAAAUUUUGGGACGCUCUGCAAAAGCGGAGCAAC